rnacentral:RNase_P_RNA from 1 species
UGGGUCGGCCGGGCGGCCGCGGUCCACCACCCUCAUCGGGUGGCGGGUCGAGGAAGGUCCGGGCUCCACAGGGCAGGGUGGUGGCCAACAGCCACCCGGGGAAACCCGCGGGACAGUGCCACAGAGAACAGACCGCCGGUCCGGUGCUUCGGCGCAGGACAGGUAAGGGUGAAACGGUGGUGCAAGAGACCACCAGUGCGCCGGGCGACCGGCGCAGCUAGGCAAACCCCACCCGGAGCAAGAUCAGACAGGAUGCGUUCGAGGGCGGCCCGCCCGAGCAUCCGGGUAGAUCGCACCAGGCGGCCGGCAACGGUCGUCGCAGAUGGAUGGUCGCCCCUGCGUCAGCAGGACAGAACCCGGCCUACAGGCCGACCCACUCC